rnacentral:rRNA from 1 species
UGGGGAAUAUUGGACAAUGGGCGAAAGCCUGAUCCAGCCAUGCCGCGUGUGUGAAGAAGGUCUUCGGAUUGUAAAGCACUUUAAGUUGGGAGGAAGGGCAGUAAGCGAAUACCUUGCUGUUUUGACGUUACCGACAGAAUAAGCACCGGCUAACUCUGUGCCAGCAGCCGCGGUAAUACAGAGGGUGCAAGCGUUAAUCGGAAUUACUGGGCGUAAAGCGCGCGUAGGUGGUUCGUUAAGUUGAAUGUGAAAGCCCCGGGCUCAACCUGGGAAACGGCUUCAAAACCGGACGGGUAGAGUAGGGCCGAGGGUGGUGGAAUUUUCUGUGUAGCGGUGAAAUGCGUAGAUAUAGGAAGGAACACCAGUGGCGAAGGCGACCACCUGGGCUCAUACUGACACUGAGGUGCGAAAGCGUGGGGAGCAAACAGG